rnacentral:rRNA from 1 species
ACUCAAAUGAAUUGACGGGGGCCCGCACAAGCGGUGGAGCAUGUGGUUCAAUUCGACGCAACGCGAAGAACCUUACCUGGGCUAGACAACGGUGGACAGCCCUAGAAAUAGGGUUUUCCCUUCGGGGACUACCGGUUCAGGUGCUGCAUGGCUGUCGUCAGCUCGUGCCGUGAGGUGUUGGGUUAAGUCCCGCAACGAGCGCAACCCUCGUCCUUAGUUGCCACCAUUAAGUUGGGCACUCUAAGGAGACUGCCGGCGUUAAGCCGGAGGAAGGUGGGGACGACGUCAAGUCAUCAUGGCCCUUAUGUCCAGGGCUACACACGUGCUACAAUGGGCGGUACAAAGGGUUGCAAACCUGCAAGGGGGAGCCAAUCCCAAAAAGCCGCUCUCAGUUCGGAUUGGAGUCUGCAACUCGACUCCAUGAAGUUGGAAUCGCUAGUAAUCGCGGAUCAGAACGCCGCGGUGAAUACGUUCCCGGGCCUUGUACACACCGCCCGU